CUGGCGGCGCGUNUAAGCAUGCAAGUCGGACGGUAGGGUGGUGCUUGCACUACCUGAGAGUGGCGAACGGGUGAGUAACACGUAGAUUAUCUACCUUUGGGAGUGGGAUAGCCUGUAGAAAUAUAGGGUAAUACCGCAUGAGGCCUGUUGAAGAGAUUUGGCGGGUGAAAGGAGCAAUUGUUCCGCCUGGAGAUGAGUCUGCGGUCCAUUAGUUUGUUGGUGGGGUAAUGGCCUACCAAGGCGAUGAUGGAUAGCCGGCCUGAGAGGGUGUACGGUCACACUGGGACUGAGACACGGCCCAGACUUCUACGGGAGGCAGCAGCUAAGAAUCUUCCGCAAUGGGCGAAAGCCUGACGGAGCGACGCCGCGUGAACGAUGAAGGCCGAGAGGUUGUAAAGUUCUUUUCUUGGUGAAGAAUAAAUGUAUGAGUGGAAAGCGUACAAGAUGACGUUAGCCGAGGAAUAAGCCCCGGCCAAUUACGUGCCAGCAGCCGCGGUAACACGUAAGGGGCGAGCGUUGUUCGGAAUUAUUGGGCGUAAAGGGCGUGUAGGUGGUUUUAUAAGCCUGGUGUUAAAAUCUCUGGCUCAACCAGAGUCGUGCGCUGGGAACUGUGAGACUAGAGUUCAGGAGGGGAAGCUGGAAUUCCUGGUGUAGGGGUGAAAUCUGUAGAUAUCAGGAAGAACACCGGUGGCGAAGGCGAGCUUCUAGCCAUGGACUGACGCUGAGGCGCGAAAGCGUGGGGAGCGAACAGGAUUAGAUACCCUGGUAGUCCACGCUGUAAACGAUGUGCACUGGGCGUAGGAUUCUUAUAGGAUUCUGUGCCGUAGCUAACGCGUUAAGUGCACCGNCUGGGGAGUAUGCUCGCAAGGGUGAAACUCAAAGGAAUUGACGGUGGCCCGCACAAGCGGUGGAGCAUGUGGUUUAAUUCGAUGAUACGCGAAGA
rnacentral:rRNA from 1 species